rnacentral:rRNA from 1 species
AUUGAACGCUGGCGGCAGGCCUAACACAUGCAAGUCGAGCGGAUGAGAAGAGCUUGCUCUUCGAUUCAGCGGCGGACGGGUGAGUAAUGCCUAGGAAUCUGCCUGGUAGUGGGGGACAACGUCUCGAAAGGGACGCUAAUACCGCAUACGUCCUACGGGAGAAAGCAGGGGACCUUCGGGCCUUGCGCUAUCAGAUGAGCCUAGGUCGGAUUAGCUUGUUGGUGAGGUAAUGGCUCACCAAGGCGACGAUCCGUAACUGGUCUGAGAGGAUGAUCAGUCACACUGGAACUGAGACACGGUCCAGACUCCUACGGGAGGCAGCAGUGGGGAAUAUUGGACAAUGGGCGAAAGCCUGAUUCAGCCAUGCCGCGUGUGUGAAGAAGGUCUUCGGAUUGUAAAGCACUUUAAGUUGGGAGGAAGGGCAGUCAGCGAAUACCUGGUUGUUUUGACGUUACCGACAGAAUAAGCACCGGCUAACUCUGUGCCAGCAGCCGCGGUAAAAC